rnacentral:lncRNA from 1 species
CUAGUGGAGGGGCGCUUGUCAAUAUGACUCCUAAAAGGGUAAGAGAUCUGAUAUCCACCAUGGUGGCAAAUUUUCAACAGUAUUAGCCGAAUUCAAAACUGACAAGAAGGGUUAAUGGGGUAAACGUUUCAUCUUUAGAAGAUAAAUUGGAUAAGCUUACCAAUAUUGUUCAAUCUUUGCUUACAGAAAAGAAAAUUUUGACUCAACUGUGUGGAAUUUAUACUACGUCUGAACAUCCGACGGAUUUGUGCCCAACCCUUAACGACAAUUCAAUGGCAAGUGUUGAUGCUGUCGGAGGUUUUUUGAGACCUCUGCAAAGAUGCUAUGAUCCUUUCUCUAACACUUACAAUCCCGAGUGGAAGGAUCAUCCCAACUUAAAUUACAAAGCUAAUCCUCGAUAUAAUCCAUCAUACCAACCGAGACCUUUGCAACCACCACAAUAACAACCCAAGCCGAGCACAUCUCUAGAAACUGUUGUGGAAAGACUUGUCGUCGAUGCUGCAAAAUAUCAACAAAGGACAGAUGCAUCAAUACAAGAGUUAACUAAUCAAGUCAGUAAACUCUCGAUGGUAGUUAAUCAUUUGGAAUCUCAAGGUAAAUUACCUUCCCAGACAGAGUCGAAUUCUAGGCAGAAUGCAAGUGCAAUAACUCUUCGUAGUGGAAAGGUUCUGGAAACAGUUCCAGUCAAAAGUCAUGGGCAAGACAAGGAACUGGAAAAAUAGAUCUCUGAUCCAAAAGUCAGACCGGAAUCAGAAAUUCAAAAACCAGUAGUGAUGCCACCUCCUUUUCCAGGGAGGCUUGCAAAGGAUAAGAAAGAGAAUGAGGGAAAAGAAAUCAUCGAAACAUUCAGGAAGGUAGAGGUAAAUAUCCCUUUGCUCGACGCUAUCAAACAAAUCCCUCGUUAUGCAAAAUUCCUCAAGGAAUUAUGUACUAGCAAGAGGAGGUUAAUAGGUAACGAAAGAGUAAAUGUAGGAGAAAAUGUCUCCGCAGUACUGCAAAAGAAAGUUCCACCCAAAUACAAGGACCAAGGUAUGUUUGCUAUAUCCUGUGAAAAAAGAAAGUAAUAAUCCAGUUGGCAGACAGGUCAGUCGUCUAUCCCAAAGGGUUGCUUAAAGACGUCCUUGUUAAAAUUAACGAAUUAGUUUUCUCUGCAGAUUUCUACAUUAUUAAUAUAGAGGAUGAUAACUCAACUAAUUCAUCUGACAUUUUUCUUGGAAGGUCGCUUCUAAGUACCACAAGCGUAAAAAUUGAUGUUCAGAGUGGAACACUGACAAUAGAGUUUGAUGGUGAAAUCAUGAAAUUCAACGUCUACGAAGCUAUGAAUCAUCCUAACUCACUAUCAAAUAUUUCUAGUAUCGAUAUUAUAGAUUGUUUAACUCAAUUUUAUUUUAAAUAUCAUGACUUUGAUGAAUUGGAAACUGUCCUUUAUAGAAGCAUUAACAUAGUUGUUCUAAAUUAUCUCGAAGAAUUAUCAAUUAUAGGAGAUCCAUUGCGAUAAAUUGUCAAGCACUUGGAGAUGCAACCAUCAUUGAUGAAUCGAGGUAACCAAUUUGAACUAUUACCUUCCCAAACUAAAAUGUUGCCUUCAGUUUUACAGCCACCAACCUUGGAGCUUAAAGUAUUACCGGACCAUCUUAAGUACGUCUUCUUAGGAGAGAAAGACACUUUACCGGUGAUAGUGUCAAACAAACUAACCAAAGAUGAAGAGGAAAGUCUAUUUCGAGUUCUGAUGGAUUAUAAGGAAGCUAUUGGUUGGACAAUAGCCGACAUAAAAUGGCUAAGUCCAUCCACUUGUAUGCACAAAAUUUCCAUCGAAGAUAACAUGAAACCAAAAAGAGAUGCUCAAAGGCGCCUUAAUCCACCCAUGAUGGAGGUAGUAAAGAAGGAGAUCCAGAAACUGUUAGAUGCUGGAAUGAUAUACCCAAUUUUUUAUAGUGAUUAGGUUAGCCCGGUCCAUGUCGUGCCCAAGAAAACUGGCGUGAUAGUGGUGAAAAACUCGUUAAGAGAGCUAGUCCUUACCCGAGUUCAGAAUAGAUAGAGGGUUUGCAUCGAUUACAGGAAAUUGAAUGCAGCUACCCGGAAAGACCAUUUUCCACUUCCCUUCAUCGAUCAAAUGCUCGAGCGAUUAGCUGGUAAGACCCAUUAUUGUUGUCUCGAUGAGUACUCAGGAUAUUUCCAAAUUUCAGUGGCACUUGAGGAUUAAGACAAAAUAACUUUCACAUGCCCCUUCAGAACGUUUGCGUAUAGAUGAAUAUCGUUUGGACUUUGUAAUGCUCCGGCCACUUUCCAGAGAUACAUGGUAAGCAUAUUCUCCAAUUAUGUCGAGAAAAUCAUUGAAGUCUUCAUGGAUGACUUCACGGUGUACGAUAGCUCUUUUAACGAAUGUCUUGAUAAUCUUGCUAAGAUAUUACAAAGAUGCCUAGAAUUUAAUCUUGUUUUAAAUUAUGAAAAAUGCCACUUCAUGGUUGACAAAGGAUUAAUUUUGGAUUAUAUAGUUUCCUCGAAAGGAAUUGAGGUCGAUAAAGCAAAAACAGAUAUUAUUAACUCAUUACCUUACCCCACAUCUGUGAGGAAAGUUUGUUCGUUUCUCAGUCAUGUAGGAUUUUACAGACGAUUCAUGAAAGAUUUCCCGAAGAUCGCGCAACCGCUUUGUAAACUGUUACAAAAGGAUAAAGAAUUUGAAUUUGACCAAACUUGUAAAGAGCAUUUGACGUGCUGAAACAGAAAUUGGUCUUCGCUCCCAUGGUGCAACCACCAAAUUGGAACUUCCUGUUCAAAAUCAUGUGUGAUGCAAGUGACCGAAGUAUGGGAGCUGUUCUUGGCCAAAGAAUAGGGAAAGAGCCUCAUGUUAUCUACUAUGCUUCGAAGACUUUAGAUGCUACCCAAAACAAUUACACAACCACUGAAAAAGAAUUAUUGGUUGUUGUGUUUGCUUUAGAUAAAUUUAGAUCUUACCUAUUGGGAACUAAAGUGAUUAUCUUUUCUGAUCAUGCAACUUUGAAAUAUUUAAUUGGGAAGAAGGAGGCAAAACCUUGAUUGAUUAGGUGGAUUCUGCUCCUACAAGAGUUUGAUUUUGAAAUUCGGGAUAAAAAGGGACGCGAAAACUUAGUAGCUGACCAUUUGAGUCGAUUACUGAUUCCAGUAGACAACACACCAUUGAAAGACAAUUUCCCUAAUGAAAAUCUAUUUUCAGCAAAUGCGCUUCAUCCUUGGUAUGCAGACAUAGUAAAUUACCUCGUCACAAGUAUUGUUCCUUCGGAAUUACCAAGGUCUAAAAAAAAUAAAAUAAAAAAGGAUGCUCGAUAUUACAUUUGGGACGAUCCUUACCUUUAGAAGCAUUGCUCUGAUCAGAUAAUUCGAUGGUGUGUAGCAGAAACAGAGGUACAAUCCAUCUUAACUUUUUGUCAUUCGUAUGCAUGUGGAGGACACUUUGGACCUAAACGCACCGCGCAUAAAAUUCUUGAACGUGGACUAUUUUGGCCAAACAUAUUUCGUGAUGCCUUUUUAUUCUGCAAAACCUGUGAAAGGUGCCAAAAAGUCGGCAACCUUAGUCAUCGAAAUGAGAUGCCCCUUACUCCUAUUCAUAUUUGCAAAAUUUUCGAUGUGUGGGGCAUCAAUUUUAUGGGCCCUUUUGUUUCUUCUUUUGGUAAUUUUUAUAUACUCUUAGCUAUUGAUUAUGUCUCUAAAUGGAUAGAGGAAAAAGCCACUCGCAAUGAUAAUGCUAAGACUGUGGUUGACUUUCUUAAAAGUUCUAUCUUUUCCAGGUAUUAAAGAGGUUGAUUUAAACAUUAACACAAGAGAGUUCACUAUAAUGUAAAUCCAUUGUAAUCUCCAUUCUUAUUUGUUCUAUCCUAGGAUGUAAGGAAUAUUCUCGAAUCAUGUGUUUUUUUUUUGUUAUUCCUUCUUUUCUUAUUUCAAAUUUCUUAAUUAGUCUAUGCUUUCAUGAAUCAAUCUAUAAUCAUUUUUGCAUUCAAGUAUUACUCUGUAGUCGUUGAGAAGCAUUGGCGUAAGAAUUGCAAAGCACUUUGGCCAUCUCUCAAACCAUAGAAACACUGCACUUUUGCUGAUAUGAUUUUCGGCUUGUUGGCUUUUUUUACCAUUAAAUUAAAUAAAAUUCAAUUUUAAUUCAAGUGGAUAAGAAAAAAAUAUUUGAAUUACAAAUUUAGAUAAGCCAAAUUAGAUAAAAUUACUCGGGGUGCAUUUGAACACCAUAAUUAUAUGAAAAUUAUAUUUUUUUGGAAUUACAAAAAAAAAGUAAUUCCUUAAAUUUGUUUAAUUAAUAGAGUGUAAUUAUAUUAUAAUUUCCUAAGUCAUAUUUGUUAAUUUAAAUUAUAAUUACACAAAUGGAGGUGAGUAGAUAGUUACGUGAAGCUGAUGGUUCACUAUAUCUUGCUGAUAAACUACAGAAGGUUUCUGGUGAGCAAUACAAUUGGAGUAAACGGGGUGAAGAGGAUUUCGCUAUCAAUGGAUUUGGGAAGGGGCCUAUGGAUAUGGUGUUGGAGGAGGAAAAUGAUGUUGUAGCAUUGGUGGAAGGAAAGAAGCAACAGAGGGUAAUGGAAAUUCCAGCUGAUUCUUUGGGAUCAAAGGAAGGCUCAAGGUCUAUGUACUUAUCGGCUAGCUCUGGUGAUCAGAGCAGCCGGGAUCAAUAAAAAUCUUAAGUUGGAAUGUUCGUGGUUUGGGGAGACCACGAACAGUAAAGAGGCUCAGAAAUAAGUUGAGGGCCAUUAAUCCCCGAAUUUUGUUUCUUAUGGAGACAAAAUUAAGUUCUAGGAAGAUGGAGUUAGUCAGACAGAAGUGUGGCUUUGCGAAUGGAAUUGAUAUUGGAUCUAUCGGCUCUAAAGGUGGUUUAUCUCUGGGCUGGAAUGGUAAUGCAUUGAUCACGCUUAGGAGCUUUUCCUCUUUCCAUAUUGAUGUUGAGGUUAUUGAUACUAAAUGUGGUAAUUGUUGGAGAUUAACAGGGUUUUAUGGGAAUCCGGAUGAACGGAGUAGAGCUGAUUCAUGGAAUCUACUUCGACAAUUGAACAAUGAGCAAGAAAUUCCUUGGGUUGUUUUAGGGGAUUUCAAUGAAAUCACCAAGUCAUUUGAAAAGAAAAGGGGCCGUCUUAGAUCAGAACGUCAGAUGAAGGACUUUCGUACAACUUUAAAAGAUUGUGGUCUCAAUGACUUGGGUUUUAUUGGAAGGUGGUUCACUUGGGAAAGAGGUAGAUUUGCUGCUACGAACAUUCGUGAACGUCUGGAUCGGGGAGUUGCUACGUUGGGUUGGGUAAGUAUUUUCCCUUAUUACCAACUUGAACAUUUGUGUCAUUCCUUUUCAGACCAUUGCCCCAUUCUUCUUGACACCAUAAGAGCGAGGUGAGAAGUCCGGAGGAGAAGUAACGAAGCUAAGCCCUUUCGAUUUGAAGCUAAGUGGUGCUUGGAUAGUUCUUUUGAAGGAAGGGUUCGAAGAUGGUGGGAGGAUAUUUUUAAUUGUGUUCCGAAUAAGUUGGAGAGAAUUGGCCUCCAAAUGCAAAAGUGGAGUAAGUUAAAGGAUAGAGAAGAGAAGAAAACUCGUGUAGAUCUAGAAGCAAAACUGAACAGUCUUUAUCAACGGGAAGUUUCUAACGAGACCCUUGAGGAAAUUAUGAAGGUUCAGCUAGGGAUUAAUUUGGAAGCGGACAAAGAAGAAAUAUAUUGGGAGCAAAGAGCCCGUGUUAACUGGUUGAAGAAUGGUGACCGAAAUACCAAGUAUUUCCAUUCGGUUGCGGUACAACGCCAUCUUCGUGGUAGAAUUUCUGCAUUAGAAGACGAGAAUGGUAGACGAGUUUAUUCUACUUCAGAGUUUAUCAAGAUAGCUUCAGAUUAUUUUGGUAAGCUGUUUUCUGCAUCAGAAAUGGGAUUGGACGAGCAUCUUUUUGGUCUAGUAGAGAAGCGAGUUACUGAUAGCAUGAAUGCUAGAUUGUUACAACAAUUCACUGAGACGGAUGUUGCUAAUGCUGUUAAGUCAAUGACUCCGUUGAAAGCCCCUAGGGUUGAUGGGUUUCCAGUUAUCUUCUUUCAGCGAUACUGGCACAUUAUUGGUAAGGAGAUUUCAACGUAUUGUUUAUCUAUUUUGCAUGGUCAGACUGAGAUUGGUGAUAUUAAUAAAACGCGUAUUGUAUUGAUUCCCAAGGUGGAUAAGCCUAAGAAUAUGUCUCAAUUUAGGCCUAUAAGCCUUUGUACUGUUAUCUACAAAAUUGUGGCAAAGGUUUUGGUGGAUUGGAUGAGCGAUACUUUGGGGAGCUGUAUCAAUGAAGCUCAAUGAGCUUUCAUUCCUGAAAGACUUAUAUCGGAUAAUGUGUUGAUCGCGUAUGAAAUCCUCCAUUCACUCAAAAUGAAGAGAAGAGGUAAGAAGAGGAAUUUUGCACUUAAGCUUGAUAUGAGUAAAGCCUAUGAUCGUGUUGAAUGGGAUUUUCUGGCUGGAAUAAUGAAGCAUUUAGGCUUUCAUGUUGAUUGGAUUGUGCUUAUUAUGAGGUGUGUUUGUUCUGUCUCUUACUCAGUUAGUCUUAAUGGAGUAAACAGUGACUGGUUUUUUCCUUCAAGAGGGCUACGACAGGGUGACCCUCUUAGUCCAUACCUUUUUCUGAUUUGUGCCGAGGGAUUUUCCACGCUUUUACAGGAAGCGAAACGAGCGGGUCGGAUGAUAAGUGCGUCUGUUGGUAGGGAGCGGUUGACCCUCAAUCAUCUGUUUUUUGCAGAUGACUGCAUCCUAUUUGGAGAUGCCUCGUAUAAUGGGGCAAGAGUGGUUCGGGAUAUAAUAAAGGAGUAUGAAGUGGUUUCAGGACAGCGAGUGAAUCUUGAUAAGUCUCUUAUUUAUUUUGGGGCAAAUGUAAAUUCCGAGGUAAGGAUGGAUAUUGUUAGCCAGUUAGGAGUUCGGGAGACUAAGAAUCCGGAGAAGUAUUUGGGAUUGCCUAUGAUGGUAGGCCGGAAGAAAAGGUGGGCUUUUGCUAGUUUUGAGGAUCGACUCAGAAAACGUGUGGAAGGUUAGAGGUUACGCUAUUUGUCUAUGGGAGGGAAAGAGGUGUUCAUUAAAUCGGUUCUUCAGGCUGCCCCAAUUUACGCUAUGCAAUGCUUCUUAUUGCCCAAAUUGUUGUGCCGUAAGCUUGAAGGAAUUAUGAACAGAUUUUGGUGGACAAAUAAUAAGUCAUCGAAAGGUAUACAUUGGAGCAGUUGGGAGAUGCUUUGCAAACCGAAGUGUUUUGGGGGGUUAGGUUUUAAAAAUUUGUUCUUGUUUAAUAAAGCCCUAUUAGCUAAACAGGUUUGGCGUAUUUUUUAUCAACCUCAUUGUUUGUUAGCCAGAGUUUUUAAAGCCCGGUAUUUCCCGUCUUCUGAUAUUUUUUCAGCGAAAACUGGAUCUUACCCCUCGUUUACCUGGAGGAGUCUCUGUAAUGUUCGUGAGGUAGUCAGGGAAGGGAUGUUGUGGCGGGUUGGAAAGGGUGAUUGCAUCAAUAUCUGGAAUGAUCCCUGGUUACCUGGAAGAGAGAAUAAUCGAAUUUCAGUGCAGAUGAUCAGGUCUAAUUGGACUACUGUCAAUCAGCUAAUCAACAAUGUUACUAAUACCUGGGAUAGGGAGCUGGUUUAUGACCUGGUGGAUGAGAGUACAGCGGAUCGUAUCUUCACUAUCCCCGUCUCCGAAUGCGGUCAGGAGGAUCGGUUGGUUUGGAAGCAUGAGGGUUCCGGGGAAUACUCUGUUAAGAGUGGAUAUCGGGUUCUUAAUUCUGACUACUUACGUGAUCCUAAGUACAAAUCCUCUUGUGGUGAGGAAUACAAAGUAUUUUACACUGCAUUAUGGUCUUUAAACAUUCCAGGGAAAAUUAAAAUAC